CACACACACACACACACACACAGAAGCUGAUAUACUUGCAAUGUGAGGGAAACAAACUCAGAUAAAUACAUGUCCAGAUUGCAGAAAGGACUCAUCCCAAUCUUCUCAAGUGGUGAAAUGAUUAAAGAAGACUCUAUAUUUAGGGAAGAUGGGGCUCCUUGUCACACAGCUAAAAUUACCCAAGAUUUGUUGAAAGAGAAUGGCAUU